UCUAGUACGGGCUUGCAAUAUAUGUCAACGUUGAUAGAAAUCGUAAGCACGCCAAACUAUUAGUUUCCAAGUUAAUUGGUAGUAUGAGUUACAUUUUUUUAUUAUAGUUCAUGCGAUAUCGUUUAUGCUACAACUCGAUUGUGCGAACUUCACUCUAGAUACUUUACCUCUUUCUAGCGCUUGUAAAAAGAAAGGGCAAACACACAUGUCAUUUUGGCGUCUUGAUUUUCGUAUAUUAUAUGAUGAUUAUAUGUCAAUGACUCUAACCAAAAUAUAUAUAUGUCAAUCAAUGUCAAUGACUCUAACAAAAACAAACUGAAAUUUGGUUUACAAGCUUUUAUUUAUAAAAAUUAUAAAAUUAAGAAUGAUCCUCACAAGUGCAUCGCAAUUCGAAGUACCUAAUUGUAGAUUUUAUGGAAAGGAAUGGGGACCUAAACAAGCCUGCCGAUGGACCCCACGGCAGGUUAACUGCCAUAAAUAAAUGUCCGUACAUGGUGUAGAAUCUCCUACGACCUAUUCUGCACAUGUGGGGAGCCCAAGACGCUCUGUCGUUGGACGAAGCCCAAGAUGCCCUGUCGUCGGAAGAAGCCCAAUACUUGUUGCCCCACUGAGACCAAGGCAGAGUCCUAGGACAACCCGUCGACGCGUGAUUCGUCCGAGGCAGUCAACGCCGCGACGCUAUCGUCCUCUCGUGGGGAUUUAGGCCAUUUAUUUAAUGGAUAACUAUAUAAGUAAUAAAUGAUUAUUUUUAAACAUUUAUUUUUCAUUUCUAAGGGUGCUUACGUAAAGAAUCGGGUUCCCUGUAUCUACCCGUACCGGUAACUUGAUUAGGUAUCGCUCACUGAGAAAUUUAAAACCGUGAAAUGCUCUAGCGCACUCGCUGAAAGAUAAACAGCAGGUUACCGGUACGGGUAGAUACAGGUAACCAGUAUCUCUAUGUAAGCACCCUAAUGGUGAUAUACAUUGGUUCAGUGCACGGACGCAGUAAGGCAGAUUUCACGACACAGUCGCAUUGGACUUGGUUGAAAAUAGCGUCCAAGCGGGAUCAGUACCAAUAUAGUACUCUACUGGGUCCAGUCACUGAACCAAUAUAAACUAUCUCUAAUAACAAGCACUAUUCCUGCCAUCAUUACUCCGCAUUCUUAAGUUUGUGUUAGUUCAUAGUGGUUAAUAGGGUUUCCUCUGCCUCUGCAGCCAUUCGCCACGCAAAAUAUGAUCGCUGAUAGUCACAAAUUAAAUUCUAACUAGAUCCUAACCAACAACAAAAACGCUUCUCACCUACAAAUUUUCAGUGAGAGCAACAACUAUGAAAGUUUUCGAAUUCGUUGAAGCUGACUACCUAAGAUCUGUCAAACAUGUAACUCGUACUACCAAAAAGCUAUAAUUUACACGUAAACUUAUUUCGUUUUUUAAAACUACGAUUUGAAAUAACUCAUACUACCAAUUUUAGUUUAUGAUAGUUUCCGCUAGAGGCGCUGCUUGUAAAUGUAUGGAAGAAAACUGAAACUAUAAACGUUGUGUCAACUAUCAACAACCUAUACUAGACGUAAUGAACUAGA